rnacentral:tRNA from 1 species
UAGAAUGAAGCUCGCUGGAUUGAGCGGUUAGCUGUUAACUAAUUUAUUACGGGAUCAAGGCCCGUCUUUCUAG